rnacentral:rRNA from 1 species
GACGAACGCUGGCGGCGUGCCUAAUACAUGCAAGUCGAGCGGACCGAACAGGAGCUUGCUCUUGUUCGGUUAGCGGCGGACGGGUGAGUAACACGUGAGUAACCUGCCCGUAAGACCGGGAUAACUCCGGGAAACCGGAGCUAAUACCGGAUAACACCGAAGACCGCAUGGUCUUUGGUUGAAAGGCGGCUUCGGCUGCCACUUACGGAUGGGCCCGCGGCGCAUUAGCUAGUUGGUGAGGGAACGGCUCACCAAGGCGACGAUGCGUAGCCGGCCUGAGAGGGUGCCCGGCCACACUGGGACUGAGACACGGCCCAGACUCCUACGGGAGGCAGCAGUAGGGAAUCUUCCGCAAUGGACGAAAGUCUGACGGAGCGACGCCGCGUGAGCGAAGAAGGUCUUCGGAUCGUAAAGCUCUGUUGUUAGGGAAGAAGAAGCGUCGUUCGAACAGGGCGGCGCGGUGACGGUACCUAACGAGAAAGCCCCGGCUAACUACGUG